GUAUCUUCUGAUGAUUUCAUUUGUCACUAUCUCAUGAUACUAAGCAAUAAUACGCUCUGACACCAGUCUACGUAGAGCUCUCAUUCAGGUUGGCUGCUUCUCAAUACUGUCAGCUAAAGUUAAAGUUAAAAGUGAACUAUUAAUUAAUAAACAGAAACUCACCGAAAACAAUUUAUUGUUAUCGAUAAUGGCUGAAGACUCUUGUAACAUCAAGAUGUGGGCAGGCUUAAUAGCCCGAAUUAAUGCGUGCUACUCGAUAAUCUACUUGGGAAUAGAAAUCAUCAAUGCGUCGGAUCAUUACAUAGGCGUCGGAAUGUUGGCAAUAUGGUUUGGACUCUACUCCUUCAAUAUAUUGAUAAACUUAUUCUUUGCGGGAAGAAGCAGCAAAUGGGAGAAGUUUGAUGUAGUCUUUUGGUUUUGUUCCACGUUAAUUUUGUUAAUCAUUCGACUUGUGUGCACUGAUUACCGCAAUUUGAGUAUUGGAUUCUUGGUAUUCGCAAUAUUUGUAAAUAUUUAUAUGGUAUUUUCACUCAUAAUAAUAUCAUUAUUGGGUUACCAAGUGGACAAUCCAAAUGCGGACAUUAGGAGCUGCUUAAGUUGCGACCAAGUUAAUAAUAGAAUAAUAAGUGUGGCGACUGAUGCUGCAGAAGAAACAAAUGAUGAAGGUCUAUCGCAUAAUCUUCGCUCUACUAUAGACUCAUAUCGUACCGACUUAAGCUCUAGCAACUUAAAUAAUGAUUCUCGGAUUGCUUUUGGGACAGCACCAACUUUUAAUGACAUAAACAACGAUUCCCAAAAUGAUAAUGCUACAGCCCCAGAUUUCAGUGACUUAAACAAUGAUUCUCAAAUUAUGGCCAGAUCGGCUGAUGCUAAUGUCAAUGAUCCUCCUCCAAGCUACGAUUAUGUUAUGACUCAUGGGAAGAAAAAAUUCUAAAAAUGUAUUAUGUAAUAUAAUGUCCUGAUAUCACAGCAAUUGAUUUUGUAAUUCAAAUAUGAAACUAGUAUUCAAUAGGUCACGGAUAAUACCGAACAUAGGAACGAAAGCAGCAAUCAACAUAUUUAUAAAAAAAAAUUAACCAUUUUGAUAUGCAUGACUAUAAAAAUCUAUAAUGUCACGGUGAUAAAAAUUUAAUUUUAAUGCUCGCAGUUAUCAAUAAGCUGUUGAUACAGAUGAUACAAAACCAAUGCGCUUUGUGUCAAUACUCUAGUACUACCUCAAUCUCAGGUGUAAUUAACUUCAAGAUGAACAAAUAUAAUUUGCGACUAAACUGACAGCCACUCUACGUAUGAGUGUAUUAACUUAUCUCAGGAAAAACUUUAGAUGUGAUGUUAAAACGAAAAUAAGGUUGAAAUUUGUAAUAUACCACUAAUUACUUUAUAACAUUGUAAAAUAUAUUUUAAAAAUAAAUGUAAAUAUAGAAAUUUUAUUAAAUUUAAAUAAUGUUUGGUAAGGGUGU